rnacentral:misc_RNA from 1 species
UUUCCGUAGGUGAACCUGCGGAAGGAUCAUUGCCACACACGAUCCAAGAUCGACACUUUUUGUGAACUGUUAACCGUGAUUUUAUGUUGAGAAGCUAUUGAACUCGUUCUUUAGUGACUUAGCAUAAAUUUUUAUACACCUUUACAACGAUUUAUACAAUGGAACUUAUAACAUCAUACAAACUUUUUGUCUGUAUUGAUGCUAGAUAUAUUAAUUGUAAAAACAACUUUUAACAAUGGAUAUCUAGGUUCUU